UACGUAGGGGGCUAGCGUUGUCCGGAUUUAUUGGGCGUAAAGAGCGUGUAGGCGGCCAGGUAGGUCUGCUGUGAAAACUCGAGGCUCAACCUCGAGACGUCGGCGGAAACCAUCUGGCUAGAGUCCGGAAGAGGAGAGUGGAAUUCCUGGUGUAGCGGUGAAAUGCGUAGAUAUCGUAAGGAAGACCAGUGGCGAAGGCGAAUCUCUGGACAGUUACUGACACUGAGGCACGAAGGCCAGGGGAGCAAACGGG
rnacentral:rRNA from 1 species